rnacentral:rRNA from 1 species
CACGGGGUUGCGAGCGUUGUCCGGAAUUACUAGGCGUAAAGGGCAGGCAGGCGGAUCCAUAAGUUUAUCGUUUAAGGCGUCGGCUUAACCGGCGUAGGGCGGUAGAUACUGUGGAUCUGGAAUGCGGUUGGGGAAGACAGAAUUCCUGGUGUAGCGGUGGAAUGCGCAGAGAUCAGGAGGAAUACCGAAGGCGAAGGCAGUCUUCCAAGCCGUUAUUGACGCUCAACUGCGAAGGUGUGGGUACCAAACAGGAUUAGAUACCCUGGUAGUCCCUGAG